rnacentral:rRNA from 1 species
GUAAGGAAUAUUGGUCAAUGGACGAAAGUCUGAACCAGCCAUGCCGCGUGAAGGAUUAAGGCCCUCUGGGUUGUAAACUUCUUUUAUCUGGGACGAAAAAAGGGUAUUCUUACUCACUUGACGGUACCAGAGGAAUAAGCACCGGCUAACUCCGUGCCAGCAGCCGCGGUAAUACGGAGGGUGCAAGCGUUAUCCGGAUUUACUGGGUUUAAAGGGUGCGUAGGUGGGUCUGUAAGUCAGUGGUGAAAUCUCCGAGCUUAACUCGGAAACUGCCAUUGAUACUAUAGGUCUUGAAUUAUCUGGAGGUAAGCGGAAUAUGUCAUGUAGCGGUGAAAUGCUUAGAUAUGACAUAGAACACCAAUUGCGAAGGCAGCUUACUACGGAUAUAUUGACACUGAGGCACGAAAGCGUGGGGAUCAAACAGGAUUAGAUACCCUGGUAGUCC